ensembl:lncRNA
GGUGGAAGUGAGCUGUGACUAACGGAGAAAGACAAGCUAAAAGAAGAAGAAAGACGAAAAGACAAAGGAAUUUGAUAGGUGCGAUAAAAUCCACAGCAGAUACCAGGAGUAUGUAACAAAGUGGGAAAAAGGUGUGAAGGAAAGCGAGAAAGAAAAUUUAAAAAGGACACAAAAUGCGCUGGAGACACCAGGACACUUGGCACCACACUGACGUGACCCAAAAUUCGACCCUGCGGGACGCCAGUGACGGUCUGACAUGAAAGAUGAGGCGCAGAGGAGGACAUCAUCAACAGGCGGCGGGGAAACAAAGCUCCAGCUAAUCGCUGCUUCCUACAAAACUACAUCUGUAAAGUUACUUUUAACCCGAGAAACAAGCAAGACCAAAUAGCGAAACAGAGUAAAGACUCUUACACAGUCAAUUCAUGCUGUAGACGUGUUUUGUUCCUCACAAAAUUAACCUCUUUGAACCUUAACCAAUUAUUUUUACCAAGCAGGGAAGAGCAGCUUAAGACAACUUCAGG